rnacentral:misc_RNA from 1 species
AAGCAUCCAUUUCAAGGAACAUGGCUAAUGUGGCUGAGGAUAUUAUUAGUGAUGCCGAGGAAGAGGAUGAUUCGACACAAACCCAUAUGUCUGCAAAGAUCAACAACAAUGGUAAUUACUAUCAUUUUUAUCCCCCCCUUUUAUCCUGAAUGCCCAGGUAUUUUAUGUGGCUUGUAUUUUCACCCUCCAGUUGAUGACGAUGACGGUGUCGUAUUUGAAGACGAUGCUGAUGAGAACGAGGGAUACCUAUUCGCUGGGCAAUAUGAGGAUACUGAUGAGGAUAUAGAGAUCGAUGGUAGUCAAGAUGAAUCGAGUGCCACUGAUGUUCCUGACCCGUACGACAAGGUGUAUAGCAACAUCCCUGAAGAAACACAUAUGCUAAAGACUGUUCCCAACUGCGGUUAUUGCACCGCGAAGAAGUUUGAGUAUGAGACACCUGGUUUUUGUUGUCGUGGUGGGAAGGUUGAACUAGCCCCACUUGAGACCCCUCCCCAACUCAAGAGGUUGUGGGAUAGUGCAGACUCUGAUGCUAGGCACUUUCGUGAUAACAUUAGGUUUUUAAUGGCC